GGGGUACUCAGAAGGUAAACAAUGGGAAAAUUCUGGAAGGGUAUUCAGAAUGUCAGACAUGAACUUAAUUGGGGGGUGGUGUUCCAGGUAAACAAUAUAAUGGGAGAAGUGUGCUCUUUUGGCAUGAUAUCUGGCUAACUGCCACUUCCCUCAAAAUAGCUUUUCCCAAAGUAUACGACUGUCAAAACAGGCUGCAGACUGGGACUGCUAUGCAAAGGAAAAUCUGGAAAGGAAA
rnacentral:lncRNA from 1 species